rfam:Otolemur garnettii contig115877, whole genome shotgun sequence.
CCAAAGGCUCUUUUCAGAGCUACCCCCCCCCAAAAAAAACCAAAG